AAGCAAAGGGGUCCUGAGACACCAGCCCUGCACCAGCACCCUGCUGCAGCACGAGAGGGAACCUUGCUUAGGAGUGGAAGGAAGCUCUGGAAGUGCCACUUACUUUUGUUACACCGAGGAAGACAACAGCAAGCACGGGCCACCUGUGACCACGUGGACCCUAGGACCCAAGAGCAUGGCCCUGGAGCUGCCUGGCCCUACUGGCCUAGACUGGGCCUCGGCCACGCGCUCCUCACCUUCACAGUGGCAUUGCAGUACCGGGCACAGCCGCUCUUCAGGCUCCCAAACCUGCCACUGUAGACACAUCUGUGUGUGAAGAGUGCCUGGAGAAAGCCAAGGAGGGAAAGCAUGGCAGUCAGCAUGUUUAGGUCCUCCAGGCACUGCACACCCUCUGCAGACACUUGCCAUUGUACUUCCAUUUCACCACUGACGUCAGGAGAGAGUGCUGGACCACACUAGCAGACCUGGGUCUACAUCAGAGCUUGGACACCCUUUUUUAGGCCUGUUCCCUUGUUGGUGGAAUACAGGCCAGAGUUUGCAUCAUCCAUGGCCCACAGAUCUUUAUUCCCUCUUCCAUGCCACAGCAGAUGUCUCUAAGCAGAAAAUAUUUUCUGUUCAUUCUGGAUACGGUCUAGUCUCCCCUUCCGAUCUAUAGCCAUCCCUAAGAUCUCCUACAGAGACAUUUUGGAGCCCCCAAAGGGUCUAUCUACACUUCAUUGAAAGGUUUGCCAAACAAAAUUGUGAUAGUCUGAGUUUUUCUCUUAGGAGUGGGGCAGAUUUAUAUGCAUCCUUCCAUUCUAACCAACAAUGCCCACUCAUAAUUAUCUAGAACUCAUGUUUACUGAGAACAUUUUAUGGGCCAGACACAUUGCACAGAUGAGUUCAUCAAUCUUCAAUUCUAUGUGGAUGUUUCUCAUGCCAUUUUUUAUAGAUAAGGAAACAGGCCCAGACAGGUUAAAUCAUUUUUUCCAAGAAACACUGAUAGUAAGUAUAAGGUCUAGAGAAUGGGUCUUAUCACGUACAGACUUUAGGAUCACAGUCAUGUAGCCUCUGUGGGCCUCAGCUGCCUAAUUUAUAAAAUAUCAAGAAAAUAUUGAUGAGACAAUAAUGCUGAUUUCAAGUUUUGUCACGAGAAUUUAGUCUCUGGUUCAAAUUUUGUUUUAGAUAAUUGUUGAUGUCAAGCUUAUCCCUUCAUCUUAGGCUGUUGCUCAAGAAGAGGGCAAUGAGACUUUCCUAGGCUAUAAAAUCCUAAAAUAUUAGCUAUAUGAAGGAAUUCUGAGGUCACUGAGGAAGGAGCACUACAGUCCUUUUGGGAAUCUCAGGAUAAUUAACCAGGUGUGGGUCACAGGAUUCCCGGGAUGGGUGAUUUGAGGGCUUCUUUUGGCUCCUACCCAUGUGUCUAAUUUCCCUUUCUUUUCCCUCUUCCUUCUCUUUCCCUGGGCUGAGACAAUCAUAGAAUGGUGAUUAAACAUGUAGAACAAAUCAUGGUUCUGCCACAUCAGCUGUGUGACCUUGUACAAGGUGGUUUACGUUUCCUUGCCUUAGUGCCCUAAUCAUACAUUGGUUAUGGUGAUAAUAUACCCACCUCGUGGGGCUGCUGCAUAAAGCAUUUAGAACAAUGUCUGGCACACAGCAAUCACUGUGACACCAGCCAACACAAUUUCCUCUUCUCCUCCCUCUCACAUUCCCUGCUUGACAGCAUCCUGAAGGACUCAGGGGUAAUGCCUUUGUUAAGCAAAAUAAAUAUCUGAACACCUGCAUCUAUUUAAUUUUAAUGUUUUGCUUUACUAAAUACUUCACAAUAGAAUCACAUUAAAGAGCUCAUAACCUUACCUAAUGAUCUAUUCUAGUGUUUAAUGCCACUUCUCAUUGGUAAGUUCUUUCUUAUGAUAAACUUAUAGGCAAAAAUUUCUAUCAUCAUUUUUGCCUUAGAACACUUUGCUUUUUACCACCAAUAGAGUCCUUGGCAUAUGAAUGAUAGAUCAUUGCACAACUGUUUUCCUUUUUAGAUGGAGCUUCUCAGAUAAAAGCAAAAUGAAAUGAUUUCUUAUUCAUCCUCAUGCCUCUGGAAGCAAGCACUAUGUCUGAUAUAUGCUCAAUCCUCAAUAAAUGUGUACAGAAUUCAAUUAAACUUGGAAGCUUUUGAUAGUCCCAGUA
rnacentral:lncRNA from 10 species